GGGCUGGGGGGGUCACGGUUGGUUUUGUUGUAGGAAAUGAGGGAUGCUUCACCUCAACAAUGACCUAAAAACAUCUAAAACCAAAAAUGAGGAGUGAUGUGCUGAGCUUCAGUCAGACCUGAUCUAAACCAGGAUGCAGGUGGAACUAUAGAAGUUCUUCUGUACAGCAGAACCCCCGCAGAGGUCUCCUGUGUGACCCUCCGUCUGUCCUGCAGGACGUCAGUGGCUCUGCCGCUCUGACACCACGUCCUGCAGACGCUUCAGCAGCACGUCCGGGCUACCGCCGUUCUCUGGACACGCCCUCUUACUUGGCGAGUCACAUGCGGACGCCAUGGUCACGUCCCCCUCCAUGGUGAAGGCCCUCUUCCUGCUGGCAGAGCCCUGUCGGAUCAUCCGGUUGAUGUCGGACAGAUCCUGCAGAAGAAAAGACUGUCUUAAUUCAUCCUCAGGUGUUUGGAGUUCUGUGUUUCUGUCGCUGAUUGAGCCCGGACUUCCUGACUGAUCCAUGAACCCGGAGGAGGAGGAGCUUCUCAGUGUGCAAAUAUAAAACUCUGUUAAUCAUCUGAAA